rfam:Gossypium hirsutum cultivar TM-1 chromosome 14, whole genome shotgun sequence
AGUUAAAAAUUCCAUCUAUUUGUGUUGUUAAAAACUAACAAGACUAAGGAAAUAACCACGUAAUAACAUGUGUUGUGUCACGUGUAUCUGAUGCAUAGGGAUCAAUUUUUAACAAUAGAAAUAGAUGAAAUUUUUAACA